GACAACACUCAACCAUCCCUUGUGCCUUCAGGGCCUGGCAGGCGGAGCUGGGAUGCCUGAGAGGGGCCAGGGCUGGCCUCUGUCCAUGGUGGAAGCCUACGGAGGGAGAGUCCGGAGGGAGAGUCCAUGUUACAUAACCUCUCUGUGCCUCCUGUUCUUCAACUGUGAGAACGACACUCCGUAGUUGUCUCUGAUAUUCACAACCACAAGGCUAUCACGGAGCUUAAAAUGAGUUCAUACGUGUACAGGACAUAGAACAAUGCUGGAUACGUAUACACACGUAUGUGCUAUCACUGUUGGGAAAAAUCAAACGAGGACGAAUCAAAGCCAGCCCCAGACUCUGCUUCCUACUCCAAGCCACUUCUGGGCACCUGGCCUCCACUUCCAGAGCCAACUGGCUAAUGCUGUUCAUCUGUUCACGUGUCUGUCUCGAUCGCCGCAGUCUGCAGUCUCCGAAACAGAGCUCAGCACUAGCAGGUACUUGGAAUCCGACUUCCCCCCCAGUCCACUGGAGUGCUCCCUGCGGGAAGUACACGAAGGCUCACCUCAGUGGCCAGGAAGCCCUGAGUGGCCCACCCUCUUCUGGCCAUAGUCUCCAAGUCUCCUCAAAUCAAACAGGCUCGUUGUAAACAAAGGCAGAACGUUACAGAACUACGUGAUUUAUGAAGCGAGAGGCUGGUAAUCAACUCCCCAAGGAGCAGAGUUUGGUAAUCCUCCGGUGUCCGCUUCCAGAUUUCUCUCCACGUCGCCGGAGAUCAGGUCUGGCCCGGCGGGCCCUCCCCCAGGGGCCGGGACCGGAACGCCAGGCCGGAAGGAACAGGGCCGGGCCCCGCCGCAGCAGUGCAGCCUCGGCCGUGCCCCACGCCACCGUCCCGGGGGCGGCCGCGCUGCCCCGCGCCUGGCCCGGCUGGGCCGGGUGGGGCCCGGGGAAGCCGCUACGUCAGGAGGCGGACGGGAGGGAGCCCGCGCCGCCCCAGCCAGGCUUCCAUUACAUCACUCGGCGGCGCGGAGCCGCGCCGGGGUAAACACCGCUGCAAACCAUUGGCUACCUUGCGGCCCUUCCAACCAAUUACACGAUUGUAUGCAAAUCA